UGGGAAUAUUGGACAAUGGGAGAAAUCCUGAUCCAGCAAUCCCGCGUGAGUGAUGAAGGCCUUCGGGUCGUAAAGCUCUUUUAGUAGGGACGAAGGGAAACUUGACGGUACCUACAGAAAAAGCACCGGCUAACUCUGUGCCAGCAGCCGCGGUAAUACAGAGGGUGCAAGCGUUGCUCGGAAUCAUUGGGCGUAAAGCGCGUGUAGGCGGUCUUCUAAGUCUGGUGUGAAAGCCCGGGGCUCAACCCCGGAAGUGCACUGGAUACUGGAAGACUAGAGGACGAGAGGGGAGAUUGGAAUUCCUGGUGUAGGGGUGAAAUCCGUAGAUAUCAGGAGGAACAUCAGUGGCGAAGGCGAAUCUCUGGCUCGUAUCUGACGCUGAGACGCGAAAGCGUGGGGAGCAAAC
rnacentral:rRNA from 1 species